GCUUGUGUGGCGGAAUUGGUAGACGCGCACGACUCAAAAUCGUGUGGCAUUAGCCGUGUGGGUUCGAUUCCCACCACGAGCACCA
rnacentral:tRNA from 1 species